UACGUAGGAGGCGAGCGUUGUCCGGAGUUACUGGGCGUAAAGGGUGCGCAGGCGGCGGUUCGCGUGGCGAGAUGAAAUCUCCUGGCUUACCUGGGAGGAUGGUCGCCAGACGGGAUCGCUUGAGGGUCGGAGAGGGGCGUGGGAAUUCCGGGUGGAGCGGUGAAAUGCGUAGAGAUCCGGAGGAACACCGACGGCGUAGGCAGCGCCCGUGGACGACACCCUGACGCUGAGGCACGAAAGCUGGGGGAGCGAAACAGGAUUAGGAAAACCCCAGU
rnacentral:rRNA from 1 species